rnacentral:rRNA from 1 species
GACGAACGCUGGCGGCGUGCUUAACACAUGCAAGUCGAACGGAAAGGCCCUGCUUUUGUGGGGUGCUCGAGUGGCGAACGGGUGAGUAACACGUGAGUAACCUGCCCUUGACUUUGGGAUAACUUCAGGAAACUGGGGCUAAUACCGGAUAGGAGCUCCUGCUGCAUGGUGGGGGUUGGAAAGUUUCGGCGGUUGGGGAUGGACUCGCGGCUUAUCAGCUUGUUGGUGGGGUAGUGGCUUACCAAGGCUUUGACGGGUAGCCGGCCUGAGAGGGUGACCGGCCAAAUUGGAACUGAGAUACGGCCCAGACUCCUGGGGGAGGGAGCGGUGGGGAAUAUUGCACAAGGGGCGGAAGCCUGAUGCAGCAACGCCGGGGGCGGGAGGAGGGCCUUCGGGUUGUAAACCGCUUUCGCCUGUGACGAAGGGGGAGUGACGGUAAUGGGUAAAGAAGCACCGGCUAACUACGU